AGUGAACGCUGGCGGUAGGCCUAACACAUGCAAGUCGAACGGCAGCACAGUAAGAGCUUGCUCUUACGGGUGGCGAGUGGCGGACGGGUGAGGAAUACAUCGGAAUCUACUUUUUCGUGGGGGAUAACGUAGGGAAACUUACGCUAAUCCGGCAUCCGCCUUAGGGUGAAAGCCGGGGGAUCUUCGGACUUUGCCCGAUUGAAUGAGCCGAUGUCGGAUUAGCUAGUUGGCGGGGUAAAGGCCCACCAAGGCGACGAUCCGUAGCUGGUCUGAGAGGAUGAUCAGCCACACUGGAACUGAGACACGGUCCAGACUCCUACGGGAGGCAGCAGUGGGGAAUAUUGGACAAUGGGCGCAAGCCUGAUCCAGCCAUACCGCGUGGGUGAAGAAGGCCUUCGGGUUGUAAAGCCCUUUUGUUGGGAAAGAAAAGCAGCAGGUUAAUACCCCGCUGUUCUGACGGUACCCAAAGAAUAAGCACCGGCUAACUUCGUG
rnacentral:rRNA from 1 species